rnacentral:rRNA from 1 species
GACAGAGGAUGCAAGCGUUAUCCGGAAUGAUUGGGCGUAAAGCGUCUGUAGGUGGCUUUUUAAGUCCGCCGUCAAAUCCCAGGGCUCAACCCUGGACAGGCGGUGGAAACUACCAAGCUGGAGUACGGUAGGGGCAGAGGGAAUUUCCGGUGGAGCGGUGAAAUGCGCAGAUAUCAGGAGGAACACCAAUGGCGAAGGCAGCUCGCUGGGACGGUACUGACGCUGAGACGCGAAAGCGUGGGGGAGCAAACAGG